GACGAACGCUGGCGGCGUGCCUAAUGCAUGCAAGUAGAACGCUGAAGGAGGAGCUUGCUUCUCUGGAUGAGUUGCGAACGGGUGAGUAACGCGUAGGUAACCUGCCUGGUAGCGGGGGAUAACUAUUGGAAACGAUAGCUAAUACCGCAUAAGAGUAGAUGUUGCAUGACAUUUGCUUAAAAGGUGCAAUUGCAUCACUACCAGAUGGACCUGCGUUGUAUUAGCUAGUUGGUGGGGUAACGGCUUACCAAGGCGACGAUACAUAGCCGACCUGAGAGGGUGAUCGGCCACACUGGGACUGAGACACGGCCCAGACUCCUACGGGAGGCAGCAGUAGGGAAUCUUCGGCAAUGGACGGAAGUCUGACCGAGCAACGCCGCGUGAGUGAAGAAGGUUUUCGGAUCGUAAAGCUCUGUUGUAAGAGAAGAACGAGUGUGAGAGUGGAAAGUUCACACUGUGACGGUAUCUUACCAGAAAGGGACGGCUAACUACGUG
rnacentral:rRNA from 1 species